rnacentral:rRNA from 1 species
CAGAUUGAACGCUGGCGGCAUGCCUAACACAUGCAAGUCGAACGGGAGUAGCAAUACUCUAGUGGCGGACGGGUGAGGAAUACGUAGGAAUUUGCCCUUAAGUGGGGGAUAACCCGGGGAAACCCGGAUUAAUACCGC